GACGAACGCUGGCGGCGUGCUUAACACAUGCAAGUCGAACGGGAGUAUCGAAGAAGCUUGCUUUUAAGAUACUUUAGUGGCGGACGGGUGAGUAACGCGUGAGGAGCUGUCCUAUGCAGGGGGACAACAGUUGGAAACGACUGCUAAUACCCCAUAAGCCGAGAGGUAAAAGGAUUUAUCCGGCAAAGGAGGUACUCGCGUCCUAUCAGCUAGUAGGUGAGGUAACGGCUCACCUAGGCGAAGACGGGUAGCCGGCCUGAGAGGGCGAACGGCCACACUGGAACUGAGAUACGGUCCAGACGCCUACGGGAGGCAGCAGUGGGGAAUAUGGGGCAAUGGGGGGAACCCUGACCCAGCGACGCCGCGUGGGUGAAGAAAUCCUUCGGGAUGUAAAGCCCUGUUGUAUGGGAAGAGCAGAAGACGGUACCAUACGAGGAAGCCCCGGCAAACUACGUGCCAGCCGCCGCCGUAACAC
rnacentral:rRNA from 1 species